rfam:Salmo salar isolate Sally breed double haploid chromosome ssa17, whole genome shotgun sequence.
UGCAUUCACUACUGUAAGUCGCUCUGGAUAAGAGCGUCUGCUAAAUGAAAAAAA